rnacentral:rRNA from 1 species
CACCGCGGUUAUACGAGAGACCCAAGUUGACAGAAGUCGGCGUAAAGAGUGGUUAAGAGUAAUUAUAAACUAAAGCCGAACACUCCCAGAGCUGUUAUACGCAUCCGGGAGCCAGAAGCCCUUAUACGAAAGUAGCUUUAACUCUUCUGACCCCACGAAAGCUGGGAAA